GUCUACGGCCACACCACCCUGAACGCGCCCGAUCUCGUAUGACUCGGCAGCUAAGCAGGCUCGGGCCUGGUUAGCACCUGGAUGGGAGAACCACUGUGUCAUUUGUCCAGUGCUCUUGAAA
ensembl:rRNA 5S_rRNA 5S ribosomal RNA